rnacentral:rRNA from 1 species
UACGUAGGGGGCAAGCGUUGUCCGGAAUCAUUGGGCGUAAAGAGCGCGUAGGCGGCCCGGUAAGUCCGCUGUAAAAGUCCAGGGCUCAACCCUGGAAAGCCGGUGGAUACUGUCGGGCUAGAGUCCGGAAGAGGCGAGUGGAAUUCCUGGUGUAGCGGUGGAAUGCGCAGAUAUCAGGAGGAACACCGAUGGCGAAGGCAGCUCGCUGGGACGGUACUGACGCUGAGACGCGAAAGCGUGGGGAGCGAACAGG